rnacentral:lncRNA from 1 species
UAGUAGUAAUGUGCAUAUAUAUAAUAUAUAACAGUAGUGGUAAUGUAGUAGUCGUAUCUCGGUUUCCGUGUGUGUGUAUAUGUAGUAUGUUUGUGUGUGCAGAUCUAUAAUGUAGUAGUAGUAGUGUCCCUGAUGUUUUUUUUUUUUUUCGUGUGUAGUGUAUAUAUAUAGUGUAUGUGUGUAGUGUAUGUAGUAGUGUAUGUAGUGUGGUAAUGUGGGAGGGAUAGUGGGGGAGGUUGAUUAGGAGUGGGGGAUUGUGGGUGGUUUGGGU